UACCAGCACCCCGAGUGGUCGGGACGAUUAUUGGGCCUAAAGCGUCCGUAGCUGGCUUGUUAGAUGCCUGGGUAAAUCGAUGCGCUUAACGUAUCGAAUUCCGGGUAGACCGGCAAGCUCGAGACCGGGAGAGGCGUGAGCUACUCGAGGGGUAGGGGUAAAAUCCUGUAAUCCUUCGGGGAGGACCAGUGGCGAAGGCGUCACGCUAGAACGGCUCUGACAGUGAGGGACGAAGCCCUGGGGCGCAAACCGG
rnacentral:rRNA from 1 species